UCCUCUAUCUCGUUGCUGAUUCUUUUUUUUGUAUUUCUGAACGCAAUUAGAUAACGGAUACAGUGUUGUUCUUCCUGAGAAAUUGAAUACUGGCAAUUGGAAUGUCUACAGAUCUGUAAAGUCUCCGUUCAAGCUCGUUAGUAGAUUCCCAGAUCAUCCUGACAUCGCUACUCUCCAUGACAAUUUUGAGCAUGCUGUUCAUGAUUUUCGUGAUUACAAGUAUUUAGGAACUCGUGUUCGUGUCGAUGGAACUGUUGGAGACUAUAAAUGGAUGACAUACGGAGAAGCUGGUACUGCAAGAACCGCUCUUGGUUCUGGUUUAGUUCAUCAUGGUAUCCCCAUGGGAUCAUCUGUUGGAAUUUACUUUAUCAACCGUCCUGAGUGGCUCAUCGUUGAUCAUGCUUGUUCUUCUUAUUCUUAUGUGUUUGUUCCUUUGUAUGAUACUCUUGGUCCUGAUGCUGUCAAAUUUAUUGUCAAUCAUGCAACUGUGCAAGCUAUUUUUUUGUGUGGCAGAGACUUUAAACUUUGUAAGUUCUUCAGUCCA